rnacentral:tRNA from 1 species
CAAAGGCGGCGGCUGCAGCGGACUUUCUUACGGCAUGGGCUUUGAGCAUGAAAAGAGUGAAUCAGACAGUGUGU